UUGCUGCAGGAACAGAGACAACCAGCACCACCCUGAGAUAUGGACUCCUGCUUCUCCUCAAAUACCCUGAGAUAGAAGGAAAACUUCAUGAAGAAAUUGAUUCUGUGAUUGGCUGAAAUCGAAGUCCCUGCAUGAGGACAGAAACAACAUGCCUUACAGCAAUGCUGUGAUACAUGAGACACAGCGAUACAUUGACCUCAUUCCCACCAGCCUGCCCCAUGUGGUGUCAGAAGAUGUUCAAUUUAGACAAUAUCUUAUCCCCAGGGGAACCACCAUCAUGCCAUUGCUGUCUUCUAUUCUGUAUGAUGAUGAAGAGUUCCCUAAUCCAGACCAGUUUGACCCAGGUCACUUCCUGGAUGAAAGUGGCAACUUUAAGAAGAGCGACUAU